UACGUAGGUGGCAAGCGUUGUCCGGAUUUACUGGGCGUAAAGGGAGCGUAGGCGGACUUUUAAGUGAGAUGUGAAAUACCCGGGCUCAACUUGGGUGCUGCAUUUCAAACUGGAAGUCUAGAGUGCAGGAGAGGAGAGUGGAAUUCCUAGUGUAGCGGUGAAAUGCGUAGAGAUUAGGAAGAACACCAGUGGCGAAGGCGACUCUCUGGACUGUAACUGACACUGAGGCGCGAAAGCGUGGGGAGCAAACAGG
rnacentral:rRNA from 1 species